rnacentral:lncRNA from 10 species
UAGGAAUCAGGAGUCAGGGAAGGGAGGAAGGGGUGAAAUUUUAUGUAAGGUUGUCAGGGUAGGCCUUAUUGAGAAAAUGACAUCUGAGCAAAGACUGAACUACAGUGUAGAAGUUAGCCACGUUGAUAUUUGUGGGCAUGUUAACAUGAAUGUCUUAAAUAAGAUAGUCAGCAAGGGAGCCAGUGCAACUGUUGCAGAAUGAGAGUUUGAAAAGAGGAGCUGCGGUUAGAAAGGUGAUGAAUACCACAUCAUGUAAGGCCUUGCAGGCCACUAUAAGGACCGUAGCAUAAAAAGUAGAGCUAUUGCAGGAAUUAAAGUGCUUUGAUUUAAUUUGUAAAAGGAUUAUGUCCGGACUUGGUGGGUUCUUGGUCUCACUGACUUCAAGAACAAAGCCACGGACCCUCCCGGUGGGUGUUACAGUUCUUAAAGGCAGCGUGUGCAGAGUUUGUUCCUUCUGAUGUUCGGAUGUGUUCGGAGUUUCUUCCUGGUCUCGCAGCUUGUUUUUUCCUUCUGGUGGGUUCGUGGUCUUGCUGGUUUCAGGAGUGAAGCUGCAGACCUUCAUGGUGAGAGUUACAGCUCAUAAACACAGUGUGGACUCAAAGAGUGAGCAGCAGUAAGAGUAACUGCAAAGAGCAAAAGAACAAAGCUUCCACAGCGUGGAAGAAGACCCAAACAAGCAGGCUGCCACUGCUGGCUAGGGCAGUCUGCUUUUAUUCCCUUAUCUGGCCCCACUCACAUCCUGCUGAUCGGUCCAUUUUACAGAGAGCUGAUUGGUCCGUUUUGACAGGGUGCUGACUGGUGCGUUUACAAUCCUUGAGCUAGACACAAAAGUUCUCCAAGUCCCUACUAGAUUAGCUAGACACAGAGCACUGAUUGGUGCAUUUACAAACCUUGAGCUAGACACAGGGUGCUGAUUGGUGUGUUUACAAACCUUGAGCUAGACACAGGGUGCUGAUUGGUGUGUUUACAAACCUUGAGCUAGACACAGGGCGCUGAUUGGUGUAUUUACAAUCCCUUAGCUAGACAGAAAGGUUCUCCAAGUCCCCACUAGACUCAGGAGUCCAGCUGACUUCACCCAGUGGAUCCUGUACCUGGACCGCAGAGAUUGUUUUGCCAGAUUUUUAGAAAAGAGAGAUGAACACCUUUUAAACUCUGAGGAAAGAAAUGGGCUCAUUGGUAUGGAGCAGAACAGAAUACUAGGGUAAUGAAGAUUGUAUGGUGUUGGCAUCAGUGGACCAAUGGAUCAAUGGAACAAAAUGAAGAGUUCAGAAAUAAAUCUACACAUCUACAGUCAACUGAUUUUCAAAAAAUGGCUGCCAAGGAAGGCCAAAUUUUAACAACUAUCUGCAUACAGAAAAGCACCAUCAGAAGAACAAAAAAUCAGGUGACACUGAUGGGCUACACCACAAUUCAGCUUAUAAGAACCUGUGGAACCUCUGGCACCUGUGGAAGGAGUCCUGUAGUAGCCGCAAUCACUGGAAGAAAGUAAGAAAUGGUAUGGAUGUUGGCAGAGUGGCCCAAUAUAUGUAAAGUUGCUAUUCAAAGGAAGCUGACUGUCUUCUUAGCCUACAACAAAAUAAGGCAAGUCAGGAUCAUUAGAUUAGGGAAUUUAGAUUUGGUACUACAUGCAAAGAUUAUUAAAUGUUAGACUAUGUUCCUGUGAUAAAUGAUAAUAUUUCUGGUAUGGUUUGAAAUGAAAAAUCUUGAAAGAAUUAAUUACCUUAAGCACAGGAAUCUGAUUUUUCAUUUUCUAAAAAAUUGUAAAAUAAAGGGGUUGUACAAGUAGUCACUAAAGUCCAGGUUUAUAAUUCUGUGUUUCUUUGACAUAAUCUUUGUGGUUUUAGAAAUGAUUUUAUAUUCAGAUGCUAAAUACGAAUGUACUAUUUUUAAUCCAUGAACAAACUUAAACUCCCAUAUACAAUUUUCUUUCUACAUACUUAAGGAUGGAAUAAUCUCCUAAAAUAUGAUAGACACAGUUACAUAAAUUUGGUUAAUAUUUAUAGAUUUGACCACUAACUAUUUCUCUAGUUUUCUUACAUGGUGCUCCUUGAUUUAUAAUAUAAAUUUUGGUUUGCUGGGUGGUAUGUGAAAAAAAUUUCUGUGAUGACAAUGUUGUUUUUAGUAGAUUUGUUUUAAGGGUUCAAGAAUCAUCCCCUGUUGGCAGCUGUUGUAUUAAUAAAGAAUUUGUCUGGUCUUCCUUAUCCCUGAUUCCUGGGAGAUAACUCCUAACUCUGUGGAAUUUCCUGAGUGAUAGAAAUGUCUUUGUUAUUUAUGGUGAUACCCUGAAAUUAUAUUUGAGUUUAUGCUAACAAGAUGACUCAGGAUGAAGGUUAGUCAUGCCAGG